CGGCUAAAUGAUAAUCCAUCUAGAUUGUUCAAUUCAACAAAUCACAGCCGUACAUCACGCAAAACCCUAAAAACUCCCUAACCCUAAACCCCAACCUCUCCCUAUAUAAUUCACACCUCUCGCUCCAAUCACCUUCAAUCCGUUCUCCUUCUUGUUCUAGAAAUCGAUCUCUGUAUGCCGUUGUGAUGUUGUUUACUUGAUUUGGUUUUGUUUUCAAUGGAUGAAUGGGGUGAGGUCGAUGAUGAUAGAUCUUAAGGCUUGUUUCUCAGAACAUUCGCAGUGGCCGCCAGAGAGCUUUCGCCUUUCGCCGGGCUUGAGAGCUUGUGCUGCUUUUAUCCUUCCUUGGAUGUCUGAGCCUCUCUCCUUCAUAAAUCUCUUUGCUUAUAAUGCUAUUGUUUUAGUCGUUUAUGUUUGUUUCUCUUUUUUUAAGCCCCUCGGAUUGGAUUUCUUUUUGCUACUCAUAAUUGUGGCUUGAUUUAUGGAAUUCGUCUUGGAGUUUAGAUAUUGGGGAUUUAUUGCAUUUUCACCAUGAUACAAUGGUUUCUAUUUUUCUGAUAUCUUCUUUUGCCUAUUUGUUAUGAACUUGUGAAUUGGGAAAUUGUUUUGUUUUUCAUGUCGGGUCUCUCUCUUUUCGCAUGGGGACUAUACGUCUGCCCCUUUAGCAGGAUUUGGAGUGCUUCAGGGAUGAACAAGUCCCUGAUAUUUAAUUCAAUCCAUCUAUAUCACUUUGUCAGCAGUGUGCUUCUGUUUCCUGCUGAUCAUUAAGGGGUGGAAUAUGCUUUUCUUUUGUUUUUUUCUGUAUUGUUAAUGGUAUUGGGGCAACGAAAGUAUUGAUUUAUCAUUUGGAUAUCGGCCUUUUUCAAACUUGAUAAAUGAAUUGUUUAGUGGUGUUUGUAUGGUUUGUUUCUAUAUUGUGUUGAGCUUACUCAUCAUAUUUGCAGGGAUUGAGAGCUUUUCUGAUGAUUGCCUUUAAUGUAAAGUAUAUCUGCAAUUGCCAGGAUAUUAGUACUGGAGAUUGGAAUUAGGUGGCUAUCAGGGCCAGGGUUUUUUAUUCCUCAGAAUUUAGCUGGAUAUUACUACUGGAGAUUGCUUAAUGAUACAUUUACAAGAGCUGUGUGAAAAAUGUUACUUGAAUAUGAAUACGAGGACAGUUCCACAAUUCGGCUGUGGCGACGAUCGAUGCUAAUAUGAAAGAUGAAAUGAUGGUGAGCUUAUCAGCAAAAAUGUGUCCUAAUUCUUGGCGGGGCAUUCAAAUUUGUGUACCUGCUGUAAAUACGGACGAACAGCCAUUUGUGAGAUCAAGGUGGGUUUGCGAUUAGUUGUGCAAUGCCCAUAAAGAACUCAUCACAUGAAUGAGAUCAUAUCCUCAAUAUUGGGCUUGUUUUUUUAUCGGAUUAAACUGAAAAAAAAAUCGAAAAUCAAAAUAAUUGAGUCGAUUAGAGAACUGG